AGCGGCGAACGGGUGAGUAACACGUAGGUGAUCUGCCCAUCAGACGGGGACAACGAUUGGAAACGAUCGCUAAUACCGGAUAGGACGAAAGUUUAAAGGUGCUUCUGGCACCGCUGAUGGAUGAGCCUGCGGCGCAUUAGCUAGUUGGUAGGGUAAAGGCCUACCAAGGCGACGAUGCGUAGCCGACCUGAGAGGGUGAACGGCCACACUGGGGCUGAGACACGGCCCAGACUCCUACGGGAGGCAGCAGUAGGGAAUCUUCGGCAAUGGGCGAAAGCCUGACCGAGCAACGCCGCGUGAAUGAUGAAGGCCUUCGGGUUGUAAAAUUCUGUUAUAAGGGAAGAACGACUUUAGUAGGAAAUGGCUAGAGUGUGACGGUACCUUAUGAGAAAGCCACGGCUAACUACGUGCCAGCAGCCGCGGUAAUACGUAGGUGGCGAGCGUUAUCCGGAAUUAUUGGGCGUAAAGAGCGCGCAGGUGGUUGAUUAAGUCUGAUGUGAAAGCCCACGGCUUAACCGUGGAGGGUCAUUGGAAACUGGUCGACUUGAGUGCAGAAGAGGGAAGUGGAAUUCCAUGUGUAGCGGUGAAAUGCGUAGAGAUAUGGAGGAACACCAGUGGCGAAGGCGGCCUCCUGGUCUGUAACUGACACUGAGGCGCGAAAGCGUGGGGAGCAAACAGGAUUAGAUACCCUGGUAGUCCACGCCGUAAACGAUGAGUGCUAAGUGU
rnacentral:rRNA from 1 species